AAGUGUGAGAAAUGAAAUUUUUGUUAAGACAACCAAAGUGUUUUCACAUAAGAAAACCCAAAAUGCCUCUUGAAAAGGGCAAAAAAUGAGAAACCAAAGUAGGAGUUGACUAAUUUUUCCUCCUCAUCAUAAACCUUUUGUUUUUAUUUUCCGUUUUUACCCAAUAAAUUAAAAUAUUGGUUCUCAGUGUAUCCUAAUUAAGUUGCGAAAAUUGAUUUAUCGUUAAAAAUUCAAUGAAUCAUCGUUUUUCUCAUUUUUUGCAUCUUAAUCCAUUUCCAUUUCUCACCAUUAUACCAAUAUGAGUAAAACCAAACAAACCCAAACCAUGAUAAUAUUUCAAGAUAAAAAGCGAUGAUAAUCAUGAUGGUGAUGAUGAUGAGUAACAAGAUGUUGAUCCAAAUGGAGUCAAUAUUUAUAUCUAUAAGCCUCUUUUCCCACCAGUGCAACCAGGAUGAUGAUGAUCAUCUUAACAUGAUAAGAGAAAGCUUUUUCAUUUCAAUUAUGAUUGUUUGAUGAAAAUGAUGAUUUUGAUGAAACAAAAAAGUUGGACAAGAUAAGUGUAACAAAAGAAAGUGAAAUGAUAAGAAACACAAAGAUUAAUAACAACUCAUCUUUGCCUUUCUAAGGACAGAAUUGUAAAAUCUGAACAUCUUCAUCAUUUUCCCCUGACAAAACAUGAACAUCAGAAAAACCAGCGAAUGCGUCUACAAAUAUUACAAUAAACGGUUCAAAGACGCAGAUUGACAUUGGCUCAACAAUUCAACCUUUUCAUCGUCAUCAUUAACAUCACAACCAUAUUUUCACCAUGUAAUGAUGCUCAUCACCAUCAGAGAUGAACCUUUACAUUUAAUUUGUCUGUUUCACUUUCAUCAUCUCUGAACAAGACCAGUUAAUGAAAACAAAUCUAGUGACAAUUUCCCCUCACAAUUAAUGGCUAUAAAUCAUUAUUUUCCAGUCAACAUUAUUUUACCUUUAAUAUUUCACUUUCUUCCACUCAAAUGAUAAUCAAAACAAUUUUUACCCAAAUAUGUAUAUUUAGAUUUUGCUCAAGAAAAGGUAAAAAUUUGAAUGAGCAUUUGUUUUCCCUGUAAACAAUACAUGAGAUUGUCUUUUAGCACAACUCAUUGAUUCCAAGAAUAGUUUCACUUGUUAUUAUCCACUUAAAUGCUAAUCUAUUCCUAUUAUUGUGGUUACAAUUA